rnacentral:rRNA from 1 species
UCGAGAAUCUUUCACAAUGGGGGAAACCCUGAUGGAGCGACGCCGCGUGGGGGAUGAAGGCCUUCGGGUCGUAAACCCCUGUCAUUUGUGAACAAGAGCUUUCGGUUAAUACCCGGAAGAAUUGCUAGUAGCAAAAGAGGAAGGGACGGCUAACUCCGUGCCAGCAGCCGCGGUAAUACGGAGGUCCCAAGCGUUGUUCGGAUUCACUGGGCGUAAAGGGUGCGUAGGCGGUCGGGAAAGUUUGAUGUGAAAGCUCCGAGCUCAACUUGGAAAAUGCAUUGAAAACUAUCCGACUAGAGGAUUGUAAGGGAGACUGGAAUUCUCGGUGUAGCAGUGAAAUGCGUAGAUAUCGAGAGGAACACCAGUGGCGAAGGCGAGUCUCUGGACAAUUCCUGACGCUGAGGCACGAAAGCUAGGGGAGCAAACAGGAUUAGAUACCCCCGUAGUCC